rnacentral:rRNA from 1 species
UACGUGGGGGGCGAGCGUUGUCCGGAUUUAUUGGGCGUAAAGAGCGUGUAGGCGGUUCGGUAAGUCUGUCGUGAAAUCCUGAGGCUCAACCUCGGGCGUGCGAUGGAUACUGCCGGGCUAGAGGGUGGUAGAGGCGAGUGGAAUUCCCGGUGUAGCGGUGAAAUGCGCAGAUAUCGGGAGGAACACCAGUAGCGAAGGCGGCUCGCUGGGCCACACCUGACGCUGAGACGCGAAAGCUAGGGGAGCGAACAGG